CACGGAGUUAGCCGGUGCUUCUUCUGCGGGUAACGUCAAUCGACACGGUUAUUAACCGUAUCGCCUUCCUCCCCGCUGAAAGUACUUUACAACCCGAAGGCCUUCUUCAUACACGCGGCAUGGCUGCAUCAGGCUUGCGCCCAUUGUGCAAUAUUCCCCACUGCUGCCUCCCGUAGGAGUCUGGACCGCGUCUCAGUUCCAGUGUGGCUGGUCAUCCUCUCAGACCAGCUAGGGAUCGUCGCCUAGGUGAGCCAUUACCCCACCUACUAGCUAAUCCCAUCUGGGCACAUCUGAUGGCAAGAGGCCCGAAGGUCCCCCUCUUUGGUCUUGCGACGUUAUGCGGUAUUAGCUACCGUUUCCAGUAGUUAUCCCCCUCCAUCAGGCAGUUUCCCAGACAUUACUCACCCGUCCGCCACUCGUCACCCAAGGAGCAAGCUCCUCUGUGCUACCGUUCGACUUGCAUGUGUUAGGCCUGCCGCAGCGUUCAAU
rnacentral:rRNA from 1 species